UCUACCCAAAUGUGGAGUUAAGCCAUUUGGGUAAUUUUUUUGGGUUAUUUUCGCAGUCUUGGGUAGUUUUUUGGGUAGUUUUAUGUAACCCCACCACUGGGUUAUUUUCUGGGUAAUUUUCACUGAGAGUGGAAUCAAUACACCCCCUCCCCCUCCCGGACUCAACAACCCAGCUCAUUGGGUCAAAUCAACUCGGCGCAGAUUCAGGUGCAGCACCGGCUGACUGAAUUUGAGGUGGAUGCAACACACACUAAUAUUUGGAGAAAUAAGUUAAAGCAGCCCAUCCCCCGCUGUACAGCAGUGCUGCUGGGUCAAAACAACCCAUUUGCUGGAUCAUCUGUCGCGGGGAUUUUGGAUCGUCAGAAGGAGAAAUACAGCAGGACUUUACAAGCAGACAUUCUUCAGCGGUUCUUUUCUGGUGAAAUAAAGGUGGUCUGAGUUUCCAUGAGUUUCCUAGGCUAACUACCCCAGGCAUGAUUGCACAAGACUUUUACACAUUACACCAGGAUGCAGCUCCAAAACUCUUCGAGAAAUGGCUCCCUUGAUAUACCGAUAGGAUCUUGCAUUUUUCUAAAACAGAAGCAAAGCUUCCAUGUUCAGUUGA